ensembl:miRNA Mir7212 microRNA 7212
UCUGGGGGCUCGUGUGGUAGGAGGAAUCUGAGCGAGACCCUAACACACACGUCUCCAGUUC